rnacentral:rRNA from 1 species
GACGAACGCUGGCGGUGUGCCUAACACAUGCAAGUCGAACGGAAAGGCCCUGCUUUCGUGCGCUGCUCGAGUGGCGAACGGGUGAGUAACACGAGAGUAACCUGCCCUUGAUUUUGGGAUAACUUCAGGAAACUGGGCCUAAUACCAUACAGGAGCCCCUCCUGCAUGGUGGGCGGUGGAACGUUUCGGCGGUUGGGGAUGGACUCGCGGCUUACCAGCUCGUUGGUGGGGUAGUGGCUUACCAACGCUUUGGCGGGUCGGCGGCCUGGGAGGGUGACCGGCCACAUUGGGACUGAGAUACGGCCCAGACUCCUACGGGAGGCAGCAGUGGGGAAUAUUGCACAAUGGGCGGAAGCCUGAGGCAGCGGCGCCGCGUGCGGGAUGACGGCCUUCGGGUUGUGAACCGCUUUCGCCUGUGACGAAGCGUGAGUGACGGUAAUGGGUGAAGAAGCACCGGCUAACUACGUG